rnacentral:rRNA from 1 species
AGCGAACGCUGGCGGCAGGCCUAACACAUGCAAGUCGAGCGCCGUAGCAAUACGGAGCGGCAGACGGGAGAGUAACACGUGGGAACGUGCCCUUUGGUUCGGAACAACCCAGGGAAACUUGGGCUAAUACCGGAUAAGCCCUUACGGGGAAAGAUUUAUCGCCGAAGGAUCGGCCCGUUUCUGAUUAGCUAGUUGGUGGGGUAAUGGCCCACCAAGGCGACGAUCAGUAGCUGGUCUGAGAGGAUGAUCAGCCUCACUGGGACUGAGACACGGCCCAGACUCCUACGGGAGGCAGCAGUGGGGAAUAUUGGACAAUGGGCGCAAGCCUGAUCCAGCCAUGCCGCGUGGGUGAUGAAGGCCCUAGGGUUGUAAAGCCCUUUCGGCGGGGAAGAUAAUGACGGUACCCGCAGAAGAAGCCCCGGCUAACUUCGUGCCAGCCGCCGCGGUAA